UGGGGAAUAUUGCACAAUGGGCGCAAGCCUGAUGCAGCCAUGCCGCGUGUGUGAAGAAGGCCUUCGGGUUGUAAAGCACUUUCAGCGAGGAGGAAGGUGGUGAACUUAAUACGUCAUCAAUUGACGUUACUCGCAGAAGAAGCACCGGCUAACUCCGUGCCAGCAGCCGCGGUAAUACGGAGGGUGCAAGCGUUAAUCGGAAUUACUGGGCGUAAAGCGCACGCAGGCGGUUUGUUAAGUCAGAUGUGAAAUCCCCGGGCUCAACCUGGGAACUGCAUUUGAAACUGGCAAGCUAGAGUCUCGUAGAGGGGGGUAGAAUUCCAGGUGUAGCGGUGAAAUGCGUAGAGAUCUGGAGGAAUACCGGUGGCGAAGGCGGCCCCCUGGACGAAGACUGACGCUCAGGUGCGAAAGCGUGGGGCAGCAAACAGGAUUAGAUACCCUGGUAGUCCACGCUGUAAACGAUGUCGAUUUGGAGGUUGUGCCCUUGAGGCGUGGCUUCCGGAGCUAACGCGUUAAAUCGACCGCCUGGGGAGUACGGCCGCAAGGUU
rnacentral:rRNA from 1 species